GCCGGGCGUGGUGGUGGGCACCUGUAAUCCUGGCUACUCAGGAGGCUGAGGCAGGAGAAUUGCUUGAACCCAGGAGGCAGAGAUUGCAGUGAGCUGAGAUCGUGCCACUGCACUCCAGCCUGGGUGAUAGAGCAAGACUCUGUCUCAA
ensembl:misc_RNA Metazoa_SRP Metazoan signal recognition particle RNA